ACGUGUUACCUCACUAAUUGGAUACAAAUCAGAGCAAAGCCCACGGAUCCACUGCCUAAUGUCAAGAGUGUUAGCCGGACCGCUCCUUGAAACGGAGAGAGCAGCAGUCUUGGGGGCAACGUCAUCUAAAUCCGAUCAAAGCCACUCUCUUUCUUGACGACGGCAGCAGCCUCUGAAUCUCCGACUCCGUCAAAAACUCCCAGAAAAUGUGCUAGCUUUCAGAUCCCUGUAACUUUUCUUGCAGUUCAGAUUCCAGACUCCUACAAGAUGGUUAAUGCCACUAAAGGGUUGUUCAUAUCCUGUGACAUACCUAUGGCACAAUUCAUCAUCAAUUUGAAUGCUUCGCUACCGGCAUCACAGAAGUUCAUCAUUCAUAUUUUGGACAGCACUCACAUGUUUGUCCAGCCCCAUGUGUCUGAUAUGAUACGAAGUGCAAUUUCAGACUUCAGAGAGCAGAAUUCCUACGAGAAGCCCUCUUAAUUUUCCCAUCUGCUCCCUCGUUUAUGGUAUUUUUAUUAUAAACACUCGAUUAGACCAUCAUACCCAUACUUCAGCUCAUCAAUAUUUCUGUUUGCGUUUCUGUCAUUCAAUGCAAAUCAAAGCUUUCUUGUUAAUGAAAGGAACAAUAUAACCUCGGGCAAUAUCAGAUUUAAGUUGGAGCUUACUUGGAAGGGUAUGCAGUUGAAACCUGUUUUCCUGUAUAGCUCCUGAACUAGCUGGCUGAGCUUGGAAAAUGUAGAUGGACAUGAUACUAUAUAUCUAUUUUACUGCACCGAUUAUUUCAUUUUUUGAU